CAGCUUCUUGUCGUUCCAAUCAAACCAGGAUGAAUCACUUUGUAAGAAGCUUGAUUUUGAUACAUAAAAUGGGGGGGAAAACCAGGAAGUUGAAUAAAUCUCAUAGGAGUUGGGAUGAAGAAGUUAUCUUUCUAAUCAGGUGAUUCCAGUUUCCCAGUUGGGAAUAGGACAGCUUCUUCGUCGUUCCAAUCAAACCAGGAUGAAUCACUUUGUAAUAAGCUGAUUUGUAUACUUAAAUUGUUGGAGAAUCACCAGGAAGUUGAAUUAAUCUCAUAGGAGUUGGAAUGAAGAAGUUAUCC